rnacentral:lncRNA from 1 species
GGCAAACAUGGCUUAUAUAUCCAGCAAGCAACAUGUCCAGCAAAUAUAGAUCCAGUAAGUAAUAUAUAACCAACGAAGGUUCACAACAACAAUAUAUUACAACUUGACAACCAUAACAAAUUGACCAUGAGUCCAAAGUCCACACAGGUACAUAUCCAACAAGGUUCACAAACAAAAGCAUGAGUUCCAAGUUCACACCAAGUAUGAACCUCAAACAUGCAAUGUGCUCCACCGUAGCAUGUAUGCCCACCGUCAACGGCAUCCACGAUGCAAACCUAUAAGUCCAUUACCAAACGCAUGAGUUUUCAAAGUUAAGUUUCAAAUGAUCGAUAAGGCACAAGAGUCAACAAGCAUCAACAUAUAAGGUUCAAAUUGAAGCUAAGAAGUAUGAACAAUACAAGCAUCAACACUUGUGGGCUCUACUAUCAACAAUGCACAAGUUGUAAGUUGAGAAGCACAAAGACAAGACGCAAGCAUCAACAAUGCACAAACAUAGACAACUACCUCGAGUGAUCAUUGUUGCAAGGAGGUCGAAGCGCCAUGAGUCGUAGUGGGAGUCACUGGGCUUGCUUGUCCUGACUGAGAACACUUCAAGCACGAGAAGGUAAGAUGGUAAGAUUCAUGAUCUUUAAGCAUGACUAGUCAACAACCUGUGCGACUGCACGGGCUAGUAAUUUUUCCUAAAAGAGUAUAAAUCAUUGGCAGCUCUUUGUAUUGUUUCAUUUUUUAUGUGAGAAAUAGAGAAUUGUGUUAUGAAACUUGAUUGUAGCGCACUUAAUAUUGUUUCAAUUAGUUGGACAUUAGAUAGUGGAUUAAUAUUUCCAUGGUCUGAGAUUCAUAGUUAUCUUGUGCCUGUCUUGUGAUUGUAUUACAAAUGCUUAUGUUUAACCAAAUAGCUCAAAAUCGGUUCAAAUGAUAGACACAUAUGCAAAUAAUACAUAUCUCUGCUUAUCCUUCUAUGAGGAAGUCCUACCACCAGAUGUGAGCCAAACAUUAUUAUAUUUAUGGCUUAGCUUAAAUCCAUAAUUAUUUAGGUGAGAUCCUCUGCAUCAUAUAUUUCCUAACAGGAAUAUAAGGGUUAAACAUGCCGGCCAUUUAUAUAAAUGUAAAAUGUACAACAUAGUUAAUAUACUGAGAGACUUAUAUGUAUCAAAUACUAACUUUCUUUUUGUAAUAGCACUUGGUUGCACAUUAUCCCGGGAAAAGACCCUUGGAAUGGGCAUUAAAUUCAUUUUCCUAAAUGGGCAUUGGCAGUUCAAUUCUAAAGUAUUACAUGUAAGCAUCAGUAAUCCUCUCUUAGCUUAGUCCGCUUCAAGAAAUCAUAUGAUCCCAUGUCUCCCAUAUUAUGUUGAUCACCACAUACAUCCUAGAUUUAAAGAGAGUAAAUUAGUUUGAAAAAGUCAUCCUAAUAAUUAAAAUGUGGUCGAGCACAUGCACAUGCAUGUAUAAAUAAAAUAGACUGUGCGCAUGAAGUGCAUACCUGCACCCUAGACAUGGGAUACAGCGGGGGAGUGGAUGAGAAGCACACACAGCCACUGUAUGUCCUCGUUGUCGGUAUUCUGCUUGAUUAUCCUCUUCAUCGCUUGUUAAUGUAAAGAAAAACAGUUGGUCAAUAAAGAAUCAUAUACAUUAUUCAAGAAACCAAGCGAUGGUAUAACAAAUAAAUUAGAAGUGAACAAACGGCAAGAUUUAAUUUAUUUUGCAAUUUGUAGGAUUCCCCAACUCGAAGAGAGCUGUUGUUGAAUAUCAUAUGAAAGAAUAACGGAUUUGCAUUAUAUGGAUUUGAGCCACAUAUUACACUAUUUAUAAAAUUGAAUUCAGGUAGCUAGUAAAAUGAUUGUCUUGAUGAUCGUUAACUGAGACCCAUAAAAAUUAAUAUUUUAUUUUCACUCAAUGACCAUAGUUUCUAACGGGAAUAUUGGGGGCACAAAAUGCAAGACAUCAUAUAGAAGUGCAUCCAUAUGAUGAUCAAAUACUGAGAAUCAUUUUCUCGCAAUAGAAGCACAUGGUUACACACAUCCCUCAGAAUCUCACUUAACUGAAAUGGGAGUUUAUUUCUUGUAAUAGUAACAUUUUGUUACACAUAUCCCCUCAAAUAUCCCUUAAGUGGAAUGGACGUUAGUUGACAAUAGUAUAUAGGAAGGCUCCCGAACACAAAAAAAUAGACAUAUGUUGUUCAAGUGCUGCAUACAAAAUGAUGGUGGCAAUAAAUUUGAGCACAUAAAUAUAUAUGAAUAGAAGCAUUGUAGUAAAUGUUCUGUUGGAAAGAUACCAUUGAUGCAACAAAUAAAAAAACCUGAAAUUCAGCAAGGUGCUUGCGUGGGACAUCACGCAUUAGUAAUCUUUUCUUACCUUAGCCCCCUGAAACUAAUCAUAUGAUCCAUGCUGUCCAAAAUUAUAUGAGCUCAUCAUCCAUGAAUGAAGCGAAAAGGUGUAAAGUAGUGAUAAGAAAUCAUCCUAAUAAUCAAACCUCUAGCCCAGUAUGCACCCUGUAUAAAAUAGAAAUCUAUGAAGUCAUUACCUGCACCUGCAGACACGGUUUGCAGCCAAGGCGUGGAUGAGAAGCUCAUCCAGCAACUACACAUCAUCGCCGGUCGCUCUCGACUUGAUUAUCUUCUUCAUUUUCUACGCUUCAUUACGUAAUCCAUAACGACAUGCUCAGUGAGCGUGUUUUUUGCUACAGAACGUUUCCUAGUAUGUAAAAAAGAAGAAUUGCAUCAAAAUAGGGACACACUUUCAGUAUAAAUCUGAAGCAUACAACAUGAUUCUUUCGCGUCUUGCUUUGAAUAAAUAUUGUUCAGGUGCCUCCUUGUUGAUGCGUAUACACUGCACAUCUGCAACAACACCAUCAAAGAAAUUCCAUCAGAACAAAGUACAGGUUGUGCUUGUAAGAUGCACAGUCAAAUUGGAUUACUGGAUGAGAAUAAAUUGAAAGAAUAGAUCAAAGUAAAUAAAGGCAUAUUUUUUUGCUUGUAUGGAACAGAAAGAAGUAAACUGAAUAAAUCGUGUGAUACUCCUAAACGACUAAUCCACUUCCCAAAAACUUUAGAAGAGGUUCUUGAGUUCCUUGUGCAGAAGUACGCCCACAUAAUUAGAUUGUAUAUAGCAUCUAGAAAUCCUAGCUAUCCAAGUAAUAUGUAGGUAUGAAACUGAACAAGUGUGUAACAGAACAUGCAUGUGUUCCUGAAGAUGCAAUUGGGGGAGGGACGGGAACCAAGACCUGGUUGCUUCUUGUUGUUGCAUGAGGAGGAGAUCAGCAGGGGCACCUCUGAGCACCUUCACGCCGGAGCACCUUGCCGCCGGAGGAGCCGGCCCUGGUCAACAGAGAAAUAGGUCGGUCAGAGAGAGAGAGAGAGAGAGAGACGGGGGCAGGGGGGUUACCUGCCGGCGGAGAGAUGGCCGUGCGACCUCAACCCUAGCGGACAGGGAGGGGCGGCGGCGCCGAUGGGAGAGCUAGCCUCAUGCUCGGGAAGGGGGCGGGGAGGAUCUGUGCUCCUAGAGGACGGGGAGGGGCGGCGGCGCCGGGGGGUGACGGCGAGGCAGCCGGUGGGUGGAGGAUGGGCGGCGGCGCGAGG